rnacentral:sRNA from 1 species
AUUUCUAUCCCUGAUCCAGUGUUGUUUGUCAUGUGACUAAACAGUUGUGUUUCUGGUCACCCUACAAAGUAAUGCUGAAUUUCUAGUGAUAUUUUAUCAUCUGUUGUGUGUGUGUGUUGAAUCAAGAUUUUGUACACCUAUAAAUAAGACACUUAUGUAAUGAAUAUAUUAGAAAUGUAGAUCAGUGUUUGUGACUAUUGUGUAGGGAGACUAACAAUUUCUGUAUAUUACAUGGUGUAUUGUAUUUAGUCUGUUUGUCUGUUGGUUUAGUGUACUCUACUAACACUGGAGAGAACCCUUGUAACCCUGUUGUUUUACCACAAACUGAUCAAAGAACAAACCCCUAAAAUAGUAGAUACUAUUAUAUCAAAACUUUGUGUCACUGUGUCAAGCUGCUGUAAGUUAUAUAUUUUGGGUAUUUUUUGCAUACUGAAGGGGAUCUUUGGAGCUGUAACAUGUUAAGUAAGCCAUGAUGUACAUAUUAUCAAACUUCAAAUUGCUUCAUUCACUGGUUUCACCAUUUGGUCAAACCUAGUAUUUCAAAAAUACACACUGUUGAACAAAUUUCAAAAAAUAAGUUAAUUUGUGAUAAUAAUUUGGACACUCCUUAUAUUUUCUCUGUGUUUGAGCACCCAAACUGUCGUUUAUCCUAAAUCCAUAGUUUGCUGUGUGUUUUAUCCAGUAUUUCUUUUAUAUAAACAGGUUACUUGGGGCCACCAUUUUGAAUUAUUAUAAUUCUUUAUUUCUUGUAAAUAUCUUGAUAUUUAUAACUUUAGAAUUUCUCUAACUCAUUUUAGUUAUAUAUAUAUUUUUACAAUAGAAUUCAGAGGUCAUUCAUAUUUUGUGGCUGCAACUGCUUUGUUAAUAUGAGUAUUUUUCUACAAGAACAGACUCUCAUCUUUAUUGCAGACAACCUGCUCCAUAUUCACAGCUUUAUCAAAUUUCAAAUUACCUGGUAGCUUUUAUACAUAACACAACACCAAUUUAUUUCAUUUUAAAAGAUGUUGGGACUUUUACUUUAAAAUUACUUACUGAGAAAGUUCAUUUUCUGAGUAUUUAAUUCACAUAGCAAUGAAUUUAAGUACUAAUCAGAUUAAACUUCAUUUUAUUAAUACAAUUAAUUAAUUAAGACGUCUAAGUUUCUAAAAUAAGAGAGAAUCCAACGGAAUUGUUAAGUAAAAGUAUAGUAAGAUUGACAUGUUUAAUUUACUUUCACUUACCAAAUAAAAGUAACACAAAACAUAAAAAUGGCCAAGCAUAAUUAAAUUAGUUUGGAUCCAUAAGGACCUCAUUUUAACAAUAACCCAGAAAAAAGUUUUCUGUUAAUGCUCGCUGUUGUAUUUCAACUGUUGUCUACAUAUUAGUACCUUGUUAACUGAGAACAAACCACCCACAUACCAGUUCUAUAAUCUGUAGAUACUUACUGCAUGCUCUUACCAUUCUAGUCACUCUGUGUCGAUAUUAAAAGUAGCCAGGAACUUGUAUGUAUAAUUCAUAUAAAUAUAUAAUAGGGUAAAACCUUUUUUCUUCCAUUAUUUAUGGCUUAUUUUUGUGUUUCAGUUGUUUGUGGGAUAGAGUAUUGUGUUGGUGCAUUAACUUUAAAAACAAUUUGAAGCAUAUAUGAAAAUUCAAUAGAUUUGAUGUUAACCCUUGAUGGUUACAUAUUUAUUAGCUUAAGAAAGGUUAAACAGCAAUAUCUAUUUAACCAACUGUUGUAAAGUUUUGAAAUGAAAGUAGUACCUUAAAGAUAUGAUAUUUUCAUUAAAGCCAUAAGAUGAUUUUAAAACUUAUUACUAGAUGGAUAGAAAAGCAUUAUUUUUUCUAUAUAAGGGUUGAUAUAUAUAUUGCACACGUUUGAAGUGACUUCACAUUUUAAUUAGUCGUUUUUAUAUUGUUAUGCUUCUGAUAGGCUUUAGAAUAAACUCUAAAAUUUU